rnacentral:lncRNA from 1 species
AAUAAUUACUUAUUGUAGUAGAAAUCAGAAGUUGCAGAGUUUGAAGAAUAGUAUUGGUGUUGUCUGUUGUGUGAGUGUAUUGUCUGGUGGCUGGUUUAGGGAACUCACGGCGGGGACAACAGAGAGCAGUUCGACGAGUGGAGCACGCGGGUUGGUCGCAGAGUUUGAAGCAGAGCAACGUGGCUUCCAGACGAACGCGAACGGUGAACGAUGAGCGAACGCGAACGCGAACGGCGAAGAACGCGAACGAAGACGCGAACGUGAACGGCAAACAAACGGCGACAGAAGCGUGGCUGAGCAGACAAAGACGACGGACGCCGAGCUCGAGGAAGCAACCGCGAUCGGUGACAGCGAACAGGGGUUGAAGACUUCGAGCACGAGGGAAGCUAGAUGACGGAUGGCGAGCUUUGAGUGCGACGGACGGCAGCAGUAUGCCCCUCCUUGUGGCGG